GUCCCUAUUCCGGUUCUAUUCCAACGAAACCAACUCGUCCCACAGCGACCAAAGGUAAAAUCAUUUGCAGUUCAUAUAGCGAAAGCAGAAGAAGGGAGUUCGUUCCUUCGGGGACAUCCGAUAAAAUUGGAACGAAACAGAGGGAUGACACGCACAAAUCGAGAAAUGGUCUAAAUUUUUUUUUUUCAACUCGCCAUUGUUGAUCUCCAUAGCUUCUUUCUGCGACCUAGGUUUUUGUUGCAACCUUCAAUCUGAGAGGCAAGCCAUGAAAAUGAUAUAUGGAGCCAUUGCUCGCUGGGGAACUAAAAUCUUCUCAACUUGGACAUAAAUCCUUCUAACUAUCUAAACUUCUAUUGUCUGCGUAACCAAGAAGAAUUACACGGGGAACCAAUGCCAUGCUUUCUUAAUGGUGAUUUGCAAGGAUCAGGUUCUUCAAAUUGAGAAUUGAAGUGGACCAAGGAUAAGGUGGUGUUUGAAGACAGAGGAGAAGACAUUUUAUGUACUUCUGAGUCAUAUUUGUAUACAGUGAAGGGUAUCAUGAUGUAUUCAAUACUUUAUAAUGUAUAGACAUUUUAUUAGCAAUGAAAAGUUAUGAUACAGUUCUAUUUGGAAAAU